CAUGGCGCCCGGGCUGGGGCCGUGGCUGCUGGCCUUGUCCUUGGCCGCGGGGCCGGCAGGGGUGUGGGCGCAGCUGAGGCUGGUGGAGGCCGGCGGAGGGCUGCGAGCGCCCGGGGACUCCGUGCUCCUCUCCUGCCGCGGAUCCGGCUUCGACUUCGGGGAUUAUCACAUUCUGUGGUACCGUCAGGCACCCGGUGGCAGUCUGGAGUGGGUGUCCGUCUGCUGGAACUGGGAUGAUACAAAUUACGGGACAUCAGUGGAAGGUCGAGCCACAGCCUCCCGGGACAAUUCCCGGUCUGAGGCAUCUCUGUCCCUGCGUGCCCUGCACCCCCGGGACUCUGCCCGCUACUUCUGUGCUGUUCACACGGAGAGAGGAAAUCCAGCUGAGGUUUAACACAAACCUGCUGGGGCCCGGCCCUGGGUGUGAGAGCUGCGGGGCAGGAGAGUGCUGGGGGGAGGGCUCAGGGUUGUUCCCACUGAGUGAGGUGCCAUCACUGUGCGCUGCAGGUGUUCCUGGCCUUUCCUGCGCAGUGCAGGAAUUUUAAUUUAUUGCCAAUUAAAAUAGAGUAGCAUGGUGAGACAGAAAAAUAAAAACU